rnacentral:rRNA from 1 species
CCUACGUGAGGCAGCAGUGAGGAAUAUUGGUCAAUGGGCGCGAGCCUGAACCAGCCAAGUAGCGUGAAGGAUGCCUGCCCUACGGGUUGUAAACUUCUUUUAUAAAGGAAUAAAGUGAGGCACGUGUGCCUUUUUGUAUGUACUUUAUGAAUAAGGAUCGGCUAACUCCGUGCCAGCAGCCGCGGUAAUACGGAGGAUCCGACCGUUAUCCGGAUUUAUUGGGUUUAAAGGGGGCGUUGAUGGGUUGUUAAGUCAGUUGUGAAAGUUUGCGGCUCAACCGUAAAAUUGCAAUUGAUACUGGCAGUCUUGAGUACAGUUGAGGUAGGCGGAAUUCGUGGUGUAGCGGUGAAAUGCUUAGAUAUCACGAAGAACUCCGAUUGCGAAGGCAGCUUACUAAACUGCCACUGACAUUGAUGCUCGAAAGUGUGGGUAUCAAACAGGAUUAGAUACCCCAGUAGUC